rnacentral:lncRNA from 1 species
GGGGAAGGUGAUUCCUUAAUCCAUGUCCUCUUGGGGCUGAGGGCACUUGGUUGGGAAUCUAGUGAUAGCUAGAAAUGUCUGGGAAGCUCAGGGAUCAUUUCUAUACUGGUUAGGAAUGCAAAUACCACAAAGCUGAGUUAUUGAGAAUUACCUGGGCUGAGCAGAGAGUGUAGGGUGAGAAGCAGGGAAGGCUGGAAAUCCCUGUAUGGUUCACAUGGCCAGUAUUUACUGAAGUUUCAUGGCAACCAGUGCAUAUGCAGGGAAAGGAUGCACGUUGGCCUAAGGACUAUGGUGGUGGAAGGCAAAGCAGGAAGCACCCACUCUUGCUCUCAGGAUCUUGCCACUGUUCUCAGUACCUCUCAGGAUCCAAAACAUUGCUUCCUUGAAGAAUAUCUUGCAAUAAAUCUGAGCCAGAUUGAGACUCUAUGUGGCUAAGACCACAGGCUAGUAGAUAGAAGCACUAGGCCUCAGAACAUAGUUGGGCAACACUGAAAUUUGUUUACCCCUGUUCCACCUGCAGUGAUCACAGCAGGGACAUGAAGGAAGCCUUGCAGUACAUUGCAUGCACGCAUGGACACAUUCAGAAGGACUGGCUCUGUGAGAGCUUCUCUCAGGAGGCUUCCUCAUCUCUUUCCACGCUGCAGUCCAGGCCAGGGUUUUCACCCUUCCUUGGGGAGAGACCAGCCAUACCAUUCUGGUUGUGGCCCCUCAGGCUUUCCUGGCACCCCUGGUGCCUCCUCUCUGCUUCCUUCACCCCCAUAUGGAGCAUCUCUGAGUUGGGUCCAUUCCUCAUGUCCCUGUCCUCUUUUCUGUUCUCUUCCCUCUGUCCAUGCUGAUGCAGUCUGCACUCAGAUCCACCUAAUUCUUGCCUGGAAUACUGCAGUCUCCUCUUCACUGGCUCCCUGUGAUUCCCAAAGCUAUGCUUCUCUGGCCAUGCUAUUCCCAGCCUUAAGAUGCUUCUAGGCAGCGUGGUUCCUGUUGGUGAGCUCUGAGCUCUGCAGUGGAUCUGCCUGACUCCUGAGCCUCAGCCUCCUGUGCUCCCUGCUCGGCCUCUGGGCUGUGGCCGCUGCUCCUGGGCCAUGGAUCCUCUCACCUGCCCCCACCCAGGUUAGGUGCCCACUGUUUGCCCACCCAGGGCUCUGCAGACCUCUGUCUAGCCGAGGUAGUCUUCUUUGCCGUUCCUGUUUGUUCUAGGCCAGCUGUAUCUGCUAUCCUUGUGGGUUCUCACACUCUGCACACCUUCCUCGGUGCCCUGGGGCUAAAGGAAGGAAGGAAAGGAUCAAUGGAUGCCCUCAGCAUGGGCUGUGUGUUCAGCAUGGCUGGCUUCUCUCCUGGACUGUUCUUUCUUGGUCUCCUCUGCCUUUUAUUUACCCUGGGCUGUGUCCACGGCUUCUGUGCAGAAUGCUAGAGGCCACCAGACUUGAGGAAGAAAAACCUGGGUGAUCCACAGUUCUCCUCACAGGCUGAUGCCACCAAGUGGUGAAAAAUGUGUCUUUUCAUUUCCUCUUUACUUCAUGGCCUGGCUCACUUUUCACUUGAAAAAUUCCCAAGUCCAGGCUUGUAAUGUGCUGUAUCCCAAACGAGGGCAGGAGUGCACAAAAAUGCAAAAGUAGCCUGGUGAUGACCCAGUGAUAGGAAGCUUGCCUGGAUGCAUGCCAAGGCCUUGGGUUCCAUCCCUGAUACUACAAGUUCAUAAAAUCAACAAAUGAGUGCUGGCCAUUUCCCAGCCAGGCUUCAAUCCCAUGACUUGAGGAUAGAAGCUGUCGUGUCAGGCCUGCAUACUUGUCUGGCUCUGCACUCUUGGUUCUUGCCAGCAGCCCACCUUUGCCCUUCUCUACCUCUCCAGCCACACAUAGCUAGGUUCCUGGCACUGACUCUUGCUAGUUGCAGGCUUAGGCUAGCCUUUCCCUGUGUCCACCCAGGACUUGUCCUUUAACUUCAUGCUGCUUUCAAGUCUCACCUUCCUGACGAGCCCCGGGAGCACCAAGAGCUCCUCUGUUGUACUGAGGAUCCGCUUCGUCAGCAUUGGCUCCACCGUCCUGUGUGGCAGCUGACAGUCUAUGGAUCUGAGGGAAAGCCCAGCCAUCCAGGAAAUUUCCUCCCAGAGUCCCUGCAGAGUUGUGAAGAUUGUUUCACUGCACCGUCUUCCUCCGUGGACUAGGAGAGCCUCAAGGUUAGCCAUUCCUUAGUGACAGGCCAGCUUGCUCUCCAGGACAGGUGACCUGAGACCCUGCAGAACACAUCUCCCUUGAGUUUGGGCCCGUUGAAUGAUGGUGUGAGCACUUGUCACUACAGGCUGCUCCCAAAUGCCCCAGCCUGUGCUUAGACCCGUCAGUCAGUGCUCUCACUGACAUAGCUGAGCACUCAAAGAUGGGACUCCAGAUGCCAAGUGCUUGUCUCACCUGUGUCGGAUGUGAGUCUGCUUCAGGAUUUCUCUACACAUCUGGCACACCAGUGUCAGGGCAACAGUGCGGCCAACUCCAAGUCCUGGACCCUGGACUUUGUUUUUGCUUCCUGGAGCACCAGCGUGACCUGGACUGGUAACACAGCACCUGUAAAGCAUAUCAGCCAAUCAAGCCCAAGCUACAGUUAGCACUGUGUGGAAGUCAUGGACACCUACCAGAUCUAUCACCAACUCCGAGAUGGGUGGCCUCAAGGAACUGUUCAAACUGAGAUUUGCCAAUGAUUUGAUCUUCAUGAAACGCUGGGGUGAAGAACCUGCUUAGUAAUACACAAGGAGCAGUCUGAUGGAGAGCUUCACUCAUGGCAUCCCAGUCCGUGGCUUCACCCAUCACAUCUUUGUCUGGCCUGUAGGUUAUCGUCAACAGAGGCUUGCUUGCAGGAGACUUGCUGGGGAUUUCACACACCUUUUAGGUAUUAACCAAGCAGCCUGGAGUUCAACACCCAAUCUAAAAGCUGUGGACAGAAAGAGGAAAGAAAUGAGUAUGGUUAUCAGGGACUUGGAAGCCCUGCAGUGACAAAAUACGGAGCAAAACAAGUGCCCAAAGUAUGAAGCAAAAGUGCACCACCAGGAGCGAACUGACUGAUCCUGUGGUGCCAGUGAUCCCAUUGUACCUUGCAUUUUUCAAAUGAACUGAAGUGUCUGAAUGAGCUGGCAGAGCUGAGAAGGAUGCACCCGAGUGCCCAGUGGACUCAGCCAGGAACAUCACCAGAUGUUGGGGAUCCACACCCAAGGGUCCCUAUGCUUCCACUCUAACCGGGGCUGGUGCUGUUGGUUACACUGCUUCAAGCAAUCUGGAGCAGAGGUGGAAGGUCCAACCUGGGAGGGUUUGUGUGUGCCCAGCUCGAACGAGGUAUUCUGUGGGAAAGCAGACGUGAGCAGGGCAGCAGAGGUGGUGGUGCAGGGAAGAGUUAACUUCUGAAGCGCUUCAGACAAUGAAGCCAAGCAACACAGAGCAGAGUGCCUGGAGCUUCCUUUGGACUGAGGAAGAAGGAGAAGGUGACCUGUCGUUUGUGGGAAGAGGAACGGAAAGCCAUCAAGGUCCCUCAGAGGGGGCUGAGGAGGUCCAGCAUUGGUGUCAGUUUGUGAAGAUCAUGCAGAACCAUGCCAGAAGGGUGAGGGGUCUGCACUCCAUGUUGAGAACUGUAGGUCCUCGAGGCAAGAAGUGGAUGGAGGUGUCUCAGGCAUCAAGAGGAGACCCUGAGGGAAAGAGGAGGUCGGCCUGCAGAGAAGCUUUGCAUUUUGUUGUUUGUCUACUUGUUAAGUGUGGAGAAUGGCUUUCCCAUGGGGCCAGAGCCCGAGCAGUAGACUCGACCACACUUUUUAUUUUCUUUAAAGCUCUUGCAUGUCUGCUGUAGUGUUGCAUUUUUGCUAUAUAAGCCCAUGUCAUCUUACCCACUUUUAGUAAAGGCUGCU